CAAUUACAGAAAUUUUGGCCUCAAUUGUGGUCAUAAGGUGAAAACUACCUGUAUAUAUUAGAAAGAAUGACAGCAUAUCUUAGCCCCUUUGAAAAAGAAAUAAAAAUAUUCUCCCUUUUUUUAAGGCUCCUGAACACAGCUCCUUCUUAGACAUUCUCAACAGAGGGCAGGACUAUCUGUAUUUUUAAUGCCAAACUACGCAAGCCUAUAUCCUUAGCUCUCUAGAAGUUGGGAAUUGUCUGAUCUGCCCACUCAAGAUCCAGUUGUGGAACAACAAGACAGAUAUACUGAACUGGUGUAUUAUUAUGGUCUGAUUUUGAGGAUGGAUUUGUCCAAAACUAAAUCUAAUCAUGCUCUUUCGGCUCUGUAAUAUGGCAUUGAUGCAAAUACUUGAAAGAUUUAUUGAAGCUUGUUUCCUAUAGUGCCUGAUUUGCAUCAUAGUAAGCAGAAGAAUGAUUAGGAAUCAAAAAGUGGGUGAAUACAAAACAUGUCAUAUUUGUACCACCAAUUCUGCCUUAUACAAGCAGGAAUCUAUUUUGAAUUACCAAAUUCAUUUUGGAAUGAGCCUCAUCUGGAUCCAAGAAAUAUGUUUGGUUUUCAUAAGCAACUUAAAGGAAGAUUUGUGGUAAUUUAUAAUACAAUUUGUUUAUUUUUAUAUAGCCCUUUGGCCACAAAGGAACCAAUGUAUAAUUACUUAAAACAUAGUUGCUUUUGCAGCAUUUUAAAAAGUAAAUUCUGAAAUCCAGGUGUAUCCUUUUUUCUGUCUAAAAGCAAAGAAGAAGAAGCUUCAUAAUAAGCGUCCCAGGUGGAGUAUGUGGCAGAAGAUAUGUAAAAUGAACAGUUACCUUGAUGUUUCCCAAUAUAGAUUUUCCCCUGCAGGUCUGUAGAAAAGGAAGUGGGAGAAGAUAAGCAUCAGAUCACCGCAGAAAACAACUUCCCGACCUUGCUAUGCAGCUUUUCGAGGAGGACACAGGUCUAUCAAAUUUAUAGCUCUGUUGUAAAGUAAUGUACUCACCUCUGGAUUACUUUGCAAGCAAAAAUAGUGUAUAUCAUUCCAUAUCUUUAUUUUAAAGGGAAGAAUGAAUAAAGAUACCCAAGAACAUUUCACCUUUUGACUCAUCUUUAUAUUUGAAAUUAUAUUUAAAACAGGAAUAGGAAAUGGAAUCGAAUGGAAUACUGUAUUUGGCCAAAUGUGAUUUGACACACAAGGAAUUUAUCUCUGGUGCAGAAGCUCUCAGUAUACAUGUAAAGCAACAGAAUAAUAAUAUGAUACCAAUAAGUUUUGGUACUAGAGAAGAUGAGAAGGAUAAUAAUAUUACAGCCAUAAUAUUACAGCCAUACAACAUGGAUGAAUAUACUUAGACAUAUGACUACUAUGAGGAUUAGAUGUUCAGAACAGUGAUGGUACGAGAAAAAAAAUGUCCCUGUGUCUAGUGGCUUUGGCAUGUUUUGGCAAUUUCACGAUUUUCCAAGGGAAGGAGUUGAAACAGUUUAUGUCCAGGAUGUGAGAAAUCUGUAGUUAUUUUCUCAGCCCUUCUGACCCUACAGAUUAUGGAAGGCAGGCUGGUUGCAAUUGUUUUUUCUGUAGUCCUGACUAUCCAUUGGACUCUGUGCCUGUCCUGUUUAUUUGCUGUACCAAACCAGACAGUUAAGUGCAAGUAACAGACUCAGUAAUUCCUCUGUAGAACUGUAUCAACAGCUCCUGGGACAAUCUGAACUUCCUAAGUUGACACAGGAAGAACAUGCUUUGCUGUGUCUUUUUAAUGAUGGUUCUAAUGUUAGGUGCCCAUUUUAAAUCCUGGAAGAUUAUAGAAAGCAGAAACGUGAAGGAUUCUACUGGUGAUACUGUGUUGUCAAAUAUAGUAAGAGGUGGUAGAAUAAUAGGGCUCCUCCUAAAAUCCACUCUCAUCUCUAAAUUUUUAAGCAAGUUCAGCUCCAGGUUAUUCCUGCUGCACCCCAGGGCUAGUUGUUCAACCUUCCGUCUAUAUGCAGACUCAUCACUGUCUCAAAUGAGACCAAUGAUUGUUCUAUCUCCAAAGUACUUUGACAGAAGGAUGCAGUCAUUGGGGCAGGGGGGGGGGAGAAGAGCAUGGAGAGAGAGAGAGAACACACAGCCCUGAGGGGUGCCUGUACUAAUUGUCCAGGUGCUCAGUGUGAUUUUUCCUAGAUUCACCUGUUGCUUUCUAUCUGUAUAUAAAUACGUAAAGUGAGUGUCACAGAUAUGAAUACUUGAUGGUAUUCUCGACAUAUAUAAUAUAGGUAGAUAUUUCUCAUUGCUCUUCUGUUAAGUUUUUCUAUCACAUUUGCUCUCUCUUUCCUAUGGUAUUAGAUCCAUGUUUUCUGUCCAUCAAGUUUCUUUUAUUAGUUUUUUUAAAAACCUACAGAGAAUCUCAGUGGCUAAUAGGUAUUUGGCUAGCCACUAGAGGAUCACCCAGAUAUAUUGUGUAUAUUUUAUUCAGAUCCAUUGUUGAAGAAAGGUGGUUUAUCAGUAUAAUUAAAUAAAUGAUCAAAAAUUUUCUUUUUUUUAUCAUCCUGUCUCUUUAUUUUCAUACCCUUCUUGAGCUUUUUUCUAAGUUCCUAUCUAAUUUUUUGCUGUUCCUUUCUCUUGAAGUGAGCUCACUUCUCAUCCCAAGAGCAUACACCCUUUUCUUUCCUCACACUCUACUUUCUGACAAAAUAUUAAAAAGUGAUUUAAUCUUUUAUCAAAAGUAAUUAUACAUGAUAGAGUAGACAGAUAUAUUUUCUAACUCCAGAUACUAAACAGAAGAGCGAAAACUGCUGAUAAAAUGGAGUGUUUUUUAAAUCUGCAUUGUAUUACUUCAAACAGGUUUCUUAAUUCAGCUAUGCUUACAGAAAUUAUCUCAGUUCCAGAAAUAAUGCCGAAGGGUUUAUUUGCUGACAUGCUUCCUUUGCAUCUUAAAUUUCAAUGCAUUGCAAUCAUAUUUUCCUUAAUCUACAUAGCAAGAUAAUUUCAUGUGUAAUAAAUGUAUUCAUUCACAUGUAAUAAAUUUUUGAAAUGUUAGAUUCCUGAUCAUAUCAACAAUUUGGAAGUAAGUUAUUUAAAGAAAUGAGAAUUUUUGGUGGAUUCAUUUUUAUCCUUUUCAUUCCAAGGAAAGUCUUCAAGAAAAGAUUUCACAUAGAAGCAUUAACCCCACACAUGGGCAGCAGAAUUUACAGUAGCACUGUGCUGAGUGUAUUUUGAUACUACUGUGUUUCUCCGAAAAUAAGACUGGGUCUUAUUUAGAGCUCCAAAAUAAACACAGCUUCCCAGGGCAGACACACUUUUUGCCCAGACGGAGAAAUGACGGAGAUUCGAAACUUUGUCUACUUGCAAAUGGGAUGCUUUGAAACAGAGCUAAGCAUGUUGGAAUCACCUCCCUUCCUCCAUGCCUCUUGCUCUGCCACACACUUUUCGCCCACUUUUCACCCCCCAAAAAAAUCAGGCUAGGGUUUAUUUUGGGGGUGGGUCUUAUUUUUCAGGAAACAUGGUAUUAAAGAGAUGAGCAUAUUUGCCAUGUGCUUCUCUCAGAAUUCUAUUUUGUUUCAGUUGCCAAUUUCUGAGAAAGACUAUGGGAAUGUCAGGAAAACAUAAUAUAAAUUUGUUUUGAAAUCACUUAUGCACAUUUUUCUUUUCUAUUAAAUAUUUUUACAGGAGUCUUUGAUGCUAUAGGUCAGCAGGCCAGAGACUGCAAUUUUUGUACUACGGCCCAGGCUUUAUGAAGAAUCAAGCAUCAUUCCUUCCUCCCCUUUUAAGAAUUGUCAUUUGUUUCUUCAGUUUUAAAAAGAAUGAAUUGCGAUGGCACAAUGUCCAGAGCUG